CAGUUAAUUUUGUUACUGAAAUCCUGAAUAAAAAGACUUCCUUAUAUGGUACUGCUGGAUUCCACUUAACUGGAGUUACUUUACUGACAUGGACUGAACUACAGUAUCAGAGCAAUGCUUCAUGACCUAAGACAGUGGCUUUUACUCUCCCUUCAUGCUCUGCAGAAAAGGACUGCCAGUGAACAUGUGCAAAUGGGAUUGGAAAAUUUAAAAUAAAAACAAAAACAAACAACCUUAUAUCUGAUUAUUUUCUUCCUAUGCAGUUGUGAGCAGCCACACAGUAAGAGGUGGUUUUAGAAGUCUCAAAAGACUGUUGUGGCACACACCUUUCAGAAUUUAGAGGCAGAAAAGCAAGUCCUACCUCACAUUUCAGAAAGUUGAAUUUGGUUUCUGCCAAGCUGACUUCUUAUAAACUGGUACAGAGCUUUGAAAGCAACUCAGUAUCUUGUGUGCACUAUGGCAAACAGCCACAAAAGUCAUUGCUGUAGCAGGAAGCAAAUCUCCCACCAUUUUUGCAGAACAAUGGGCAGGCAUAAAAAAAUGUUAGCAGCUGGAGUGGCCUGCUAGGUUGUAGGAUGGGUGGAGUUUGAAAAAGGGUUCCCUUGCCAAGAUUCAAGAGCAAUUCCCUUAAUUCUGAUGGCCUUUAGUUGGAAAUAUUGUUUUUGCCCCCUGUAGUAUUAAUUGCAGCUGUUUCUGGAAAGAUUGUGAAAGAAAAUGAUGGGAGAAAUAAACUGGGUUUGGGGGAGGUCUGAAUUCUUCCUUCAUAAGUCUUCCCAGGAAGAAGUAGAUCUGUCCCAGGGGCUCAAUUAUCUGUGUGCUUCACUCUUCUUUGCUCUGGUUUUGCACAGUAGUUCAGAGAGAAAGAAAGCAUCAGCUCCACACUAAUUGUACUUCCUCUGACACCAGCAAUGCAAAUUUUUUCCAAUGUCCCCCUGAAAUCUUAUCAGGUCAUGCUUGAAUGUAAUAAAAUUAAUUGAAUUCUUUCAGUAUAGCUUUCACUUUAGCUAUGCCAGUGUCAAGAUUUGAAGGACCCACUUUUUAUUUCAAGGGCCAUUUACACUUCUCUGGCAAAGAAACUGCAGUAAUAAAAACAUAUGUUCCAUCACAUAGUGUGUGAAUAGGAAUCAGCCACACAGAAUCUUCAUGAACUAAUAAAUAAAAUUUCACACAUAACAAAACUGUUUCUGGACAUAAUACUUAGAUAUUUUUAUAUUUAUAUAAACAGCAUUGCAUAGUCUCUGAAAAUUCCCACAAUAUCAUACACUAUACUACAAAAGAGAUCAACUUAAAAAUGCUAUUGUUUUCUUCCAAAAUGUCCCAAUAUUGCAUCAGUUAAAUUGCCUUCCUUCUGUUUAUCUCAAAAAUUUGCUUAUUAGCUUUCUGAUUCAUUUUUUUUUAAUUUAAGUGAAAUGAUUAGUAAAAGGGUGAAAUGAAUAUUUUAGAUCUAAGUGAAAAGAUAAAUUAAAAUAUUUUACCCUUAUUAAAUAUAUAUUUUUUCAGCAAAAUAAUUUAAACAGAGGAACAGCUUCAGUGAGACCUAAAUCCUUAAAUUAUGUUUAAAGCUAAAUGGACUUAUGGGGGUUUUUGUAGAACAGGUCUGAACACAGGUAUGUUUUAAAGCACUUUAAUGAAUCAAUCUUAAAUAUGUGCCUAAAUCCUAUUUGCUUCACUGAAACUCAAACAUGUUGCUUUCUGUGUACACAUGUUGACCUCAGUCAUUUCUGGUUUAAUAACAUAAGCCUACUGAACUGUCAGGAGUCAAACAUUCCCCCAUUUUUAUAUCCAGGGGUACCCAUACGGGACUGCUAGUAACCCCUGGAUAUUUCUCCCAAUAGAGAAGAAUUGUCUGACCAAUAUAAUAUUGGAAACAUCAGUCUCCAAAAUUUGCACAGUUCUUGUUUCCUUGAAACACUGCAGUCUAAAGUGUUAGAAAUACAUGUGCUGGUACAUAUAUGUGUGUGAGAGUAUCUGGUGUACACAAGACAGAUGUGUUUAUUUGUAAGACACAGACUUUCUGGUUCUAUUUUUGUGCCACAGAACUAUUUCUAAGCAUCUUGGAUGGAUAUAGUAACCUCAAGGAUUCAAUGGUUCAUGUUUUGUUCAAAUGCUCCUUACAGGAAAUUUGAAUUGAAAUAUGGCUUUAAAGUGCUCUUAAUUCUAGUCUCUUCUAAGACCUUUUCUUAAGAUUCUGAUGGUACAUGUAUGAGUUUCUAACAAAAACUAGUAGGAGAAAAUGGUUUAUUGAGCUUCAGAAUGUACCUGCAAAAUCAGAAAAUGAACAAAAUAGCACCUUCGUCUAAUGUAAUUGCUUCCUGUAAAUAUUAAGAGAGCAAAAUCAGAUUUAGUGGCAUGUGGUUUGAAGAGACUUUAUGACUUGAUAUGCCAAACCCCAGGAGCUGAAGAGGUUAGAAUAGUAACCAAUACCUGAUACUACUGAGAGCAGUAGUAUGUGUAUAAGCUGUGCACUUCUCCAGCCUGCAGUUCAGAUCAAACUGUAUGGCAGAGGAAUUUCUGAGCAGAUGGAUCUACUAAUUAGAGAGGAGGAAUCAUGAACUCAGAACUCUUAACUAACUCUAUUCUGUCAGUUCCAAAGCCUUUGGAAUUCUCCACUCAUAUUCCAUCAGCCACAGCAGAAAACCUUGUACUGUAGUAGUAUUAAUCUUUUUAAAUGUGUUCAUAUGUUUAAAAGCAUCUCUGUUCACCUGAAAAUUCCUCUGGCAACUUUCGAGCAAGGAUGUGAUGGGCAUUUCCACAAAAUGUCACACCCACAUUGCAUCCUCGACUAAGGAUCAGAGCUUUAAGCUGGUGUGCUUCAAUUUCAGACAGUCUGACUGGAAUUUCCUUUCUAAGCAAACAUUCCAAAGCAUGUUUUAUUACACUUCUGGUAAAACAUUUCAAAUUUAAAUGACAACAAAAAGAAAACAUUUAUUGCUUUAAUACAUAAUAACAAGUGGAUAUUAUUAUUUUUAAGUACUUUAAAAACCCUAAGAACUAUAAUAAUUUGACGAUUACAGAGAUGUUAGCAUGUGAUUAUACAGUGUUUUAAUCUGUAUUCAUUUUAUACAUGAAAUAAAGUUCAUGAAACAGUAAGCAGCAACUCUGCUAUGCAUGUGUAUUAGCUACAAUUAGCAGCCUGAUCCAGAAAAUGCUGAGCACCCUCAUACUUUGACCAGUCAGUGUGAGAAGAUGGUCAGCAGCCUUCUAGGAUGGGGCCCAAAUGAUGGCACUGGAAGAAGUAUGUGAUGGCAAUGACAAUAUUUUAAUGGACAUUUUCUCAUGGAAUCUCUAAGAAAAUACAUUUUCAUAGUCAUUGAUAAGCACCAGCUCACAACACUGCAUGUGGCUGCAUCACUUGCACAGUACACUUCCUGACAAACUGCAUAUACAAUACAUCUAGAAUUCUCAGUAUAGAGAGAACUGUAGCACUUACAAAUUACCACAGGGAAAAUACAGUUUAUAGUAGCAUUUCCAACAGUGACAUUGCAACAUUACUUUAGCGACUAUGUUCCUUAUGCAAAAGAAAAAUAAAAAGUAGUCAGUGACAUACUUCCUGAAAUUUUAAUACUGGCUUUCAGGUGUUAACAAUCUAAAGUGCUUUCAUGUUUCAUACAGUUUUAAAAAUUUUCAAUUUAUACAAAAAAAAAAAAAAA